GACGAACGCUGGCGGCGUGCUUAACACAUGCAAGUCGAACGAAGUGGCGAACGGGUGAGUAACGCGUAAUAAACCUGCCCUUCAGAGGGGGACAACAGUUGGAAACGAAUGCUAAUACCGCAUACGGAAGGCGGGGGAUGCGUCGGAUUAGCUAGUUGGAGGGGUAACGGCCCACCAAGGCGAUGAACCGUAGCCGGUCUGAGAGGAUGAACGGCCACAUUGGGACUGAGACACGGCCCAGACUCCUACGGGAGGCAGCAGUGGGGAAUCUUCCGCAAUGGACGAAAGUCUGACAGAGCAACGCCGCGUGAGUGAUGACGGCCUUCGGGUUGUAAAGCUCUGUUAGUCGGGACGCGGUACCGGAAUAGAAGGCCACGGCUAACUACGUGCCAGCGCCGCGGUAAUUC
rnacentral:rRNA from 1 species